rnacentral:rRNA from 1 species
GACGAACGCUGGCGGCGCGCCUAACACAUGCAAGUCGAGCGAAGCGGCGAACGGGUGAGUAACGCGUGAGGAACCUGCCUCUCACAACGGGAUAGCCUCGGGAAACCGGGAUUAAUACCGUAUGGUGAGAGAUGGCCUCGCGUCUGAUUAGUUAGUGGGGGGGGUAACGGCCUACCAAGACGACGAUAAGUAACCGGCCUAGGAGGGUGAACGUGCACAUGUGAACUGAGACACGGUCCAAACUCCUACGGGAGGCAGCAGGGGGUAAUCUUGCACAACGGGGGAAACCCUGAUGCAGCGACGCCGCGUGAGCGAUGAAGGUUUUCGAAUCGUAGAGCUCUGUCCUAUGGGAAGCGGUACCAUAGGAGGAAGCCCCGGCUAACUACGUGCCAGCCGCCGCGGUAAUUC